rnacentral:rRNA from 1 species
AUUGAACGCUGGCGGCAGGCCUAACACAUGCAAGUCGAGCGGAUGAAGGGAGCUUGCUCCUGGAUUCAGCGGCGGACGGGUGAGUAAUGCCUAGGAAUCUGCCUGGUAGUGGGGGAUAACGUCCGGAAACGGGCGCUAAUACCGCAUACGUCCUGAGGGAGAAAGUGGGGGAUCUUCGGACCUCACGCUAUCAGAUGAGCCUAGGUCGGAUUAGCUAGUUGGUGGGGUAAAGGCCUACCAAGGCGACGAUCCGUAACUGGUCUGAGAGGAUGAUCAGUCACACUGGAACUGAGACACGGUCCAGACUCCUACGGGAGGCAGCAGUGGGGAAUAUUGGACAAUGGGCGAAAGCCUGAUCUAGCCAUGCCGCGUGUGUGAAGAAGGUCUUCGGAUUGUAAAGCACUUUAAGUUGGGAGGAAGGGCAGUAAGUUAAUACCUUGCUGUUUUGACGGUACCAACAGAAUAAGCACCGGCUAACUUCGUG